rnacentral:rRNA from 1 species
CCUACGGGGGGCAGCAGUGGGGAAUAUUGGACAAUGGGGGGAACCCUGAUCCAGCCAUGCCGCGUGUGUGAAGAAGGCCCUCGGGUUGUAAAGCACUUUCAGUGAGGAAGAACGCCUGGUGGUUAAUACCCAUCAGGAAAGACAUCACUCACAGAAGAAGCACCGGCUAACUCCGUGCCAGCAGCCGCGGUAAUACGGAAGGUGCGAGCGUUAAUCGGAAUUACUGGGCGUAAAGCGCGCGUAGGUGGCUUGAUAAGCCGGUUGUGAAAGCCCCGGGCUCAACCUGGGAACGGCAUCCGGAACUGUCAAGCUAGAGUGCAGGAGAGGAAGGUAGAAUUCCCGGUGUAGCGGUGAAAUGCGUAGAGAUCGGGAGGAAUACCAGUGGCGAAGGCGGCCUUCUGGACUGACACUGACACUGAGGUGCGAAAGCGUGGGUAGCAAACAGGAUUAGAUACCCUGGUAGUC